rnacentral:rRNA from 1 species
CCAUUCCGAACACAGAAGUUAAGCUCUUUAGCGCCGAUGGUACUUGGUGGGAAGCUGCCUGGGAGAGUAGGACGUAGCUAGGU